AUUGAACGCUGGCGGCAGGCCUAACACAUGCAAGUCGAACGAGUGGCGGACGGGUGAGUAAUGUCUGGGAAACUGCCCGAUGGAGGGGGAUAACUACUGGAAACGGUAGCUAAUACCGCAUACCAUCGGAUGUGCCCAGAUGGGAUUAGCGAGUAGGUGGGGUAACGGCUCACCUAGGCGACGAUCCCUAGCUGGUCCGAGAGGAUGACCAGCCAAACUGGAACUGGGACACGGUCCAGAAUGCUACGGGAUGCAGCAGUGGUGAAUAUUGCACGAUGGGCGCAAGCCUGAUGCAGCCAUGCCACGUGUAUGAAGAAGGCCUUCGGGUUGUAAAGUACUUUCAGCGAGGAGGCGUUACUCGCAGAAGAAGCACCGGCGAACUCCGUGCCAGCGGCCGCGUAAUAG
rnacentral:rRNA from 1 species